rnacentral:lncRNA from 1 species
ACCUAACCUCUAAACUCCCUGGGGCCGCCAGUCUCUUGUGGGUUAGGUGCAUCAUCUCUGAAUGAACACAGACCCAGAAGUCCUCUACUGUAUGUGUGUUGGGGGCCUCAUAUCAGCUGGUGUAUGCUGUCUGUUUGGUGGUCCAGUGUUUGAGAAAUCUUGGGGUCCAGAUUAAUUGAGACUGCUGGUCCUCCUACAGGAUCGCCCUUCUCCUCAGCUUCUUUCAGCUUCCCUAAUUCAACAAUGGGUCAGCUGCUUCUGUCCACUGGUUAGGUGCAAACAUUUGCAUCUGACUCUUUUAGCUGCUUGUUGGGACUUUUGGAGGGCAGGAAGCACCUAAGCCAAUAGACUGACCGACCUCCGACAAGGCCAUUCUACCCUUUACACUGAUGUGAUGACUCCCCUGUCUCUAUAGGAACACACUAAGCCUGCCCCAACAGUGUACUACUGUCACUAUGGGGACACUAAGGACAGGAGGACGAUGGCAGUAAGAUGCUGGAUGCAAUAAUGUUUGUGUCACCUUGUAAUGCUGAAAAUAGAAGCUUAGGCCUCAAAGGAGGUGGACUUCAAGUGUGAGAGCUGAGUGUUACUCCUGGAUCUGAGUCAACACCAGCACCCAGGAAUCAAGGAGCUUUGGAUGGUGGAUGCUUCUGUCCCCACUGGGAGAGUGGUUAGUCCCUGAGGUACAUUUAAGGAACACUCAAUUGGUAUAGGUUCAUCGGGAACAAAAAGAGUCAUGCCUCCUGGAACAUAAGGGCCCAAAGAAGAAAAAUAGCAAACAUGUACUUCUUCAUUUGGGAAGGGGGGAGCCCCAGAUGAUGCGUAUAUUCUGACCACUUGUAGGUCUCACAGAUUCUGACAGAUCAUCUAAGGCUUGAAUUACUGGGAAACAUACUUCUGUAUGUACCAAAGUCCUGCCGGAAAGCAGCCGACACACCCAAAUGG